UAAAAAUAUCAGAAAUAUGUACAUAAUUAUUAUAAGAAAUAAUACUACUAGUAAUUGAUUUUGCAAAGACAAAAACUUUUGAUAAAUUGAUCACAAAUAAUGGCAUGUCUUCUGCAUCAUUAAAAAACAGGACAGGUAUACAAGCCUGACCGUUUGUGGUUGUUUUGACAGAUUAAGAAUGUUUACAAAAUGUAUGUGAUGAAUAAAUAGCAAGAUACGCACACCCUAUCAGCUCAAUAGUUCUGGUUGCUGUGGGUUUUUAACGCUACUUUAAUUUGUCAUCCUUAAGCAACACGACGGGUGCCACAUGUGGAGCAGAAUCUGCUAACCUUCCGGAGCACCUGAAAUCACCCCUAGUUUUUGGUGGGAUUCGUGUUACUUAUUCUUUAGUUUUCUAUGUUGUGUCAUGUGUACUAUUGUUUGUCUGUUUGUCUUUUUCAUUUUUAGUCAUGGCGUUGUCAGUUUAUUUUCGAUUUAUGAGUUUGAUUGUCCCUCUGGUAUCUUUCGUUCCUCCUUUAUCGGUUCGUAAGAUUUGAUGAUUUGUAUUUAUACAUACCUAAAUACAGC
rnacentral:lncRNA from 1 species